rnacentral:rRNA from 1 species
UACGUAGGGGGCAAGCGUUGUCCGGAUUUAUUGGGCGUAAAGAGCGUGUAGGCGGCUAGAUAGGUCCGUUGUGAAAACUCGAGGCUCAACCUCGAGACGUCGAUGGAAACCAUCUGGCUAGAGUCCGGAAGAGGAGAGUGGAAUUCCUGGUGUAGCGGUGAAAUGCGCAGAUAUCAGGAAGAACACCCGUGGCGAAGGCGGCUCUCUGGGACGGGACUGACGCUGAGACGCGAAAGCGUGGGGAGCGAACAGG